rnacentral:rRNA from 1 species
AUUGAACGCUGGCGGAAUGCUUUACACAUGCAAGUCGAACGGCAGCACGGGGGCAGCCCUGGUGGCGAGUGGCGAACGGGUGGGUAAUACAUCGGAACGUGCCCGGUCGUGGGGGAUAACGUAGCGAAAGUUACGCUCAUACCGCAUACGAUCUGAGGAUGAAAGCGGGGGACCUUCGGGCCUCGCGCGAUCGGAGCGGCCGAUGUCGGAUUAGGUAGUUGGUGGGGUAAAGGCCUACCAAGCCGACGAUCCGUAGCUGGUCUGAGAGGACGACCAGCCACACUGGAACUGAGACACGGCCCAGACUCCUACGGGAGGCAGCAGUGGGGAAUUUUGGACAAUGGGCGCAAGCCUGAUCCAGCCAUACCGCGUGCAGGACGAAGGCCUUCGGGUUGUAAACUGCUUUUGUACGGAAAGAAAAGGAUCUGGCUAAUACCUGGGGCUCAUGACGGUACCGAAAGAAUAAGCACCGGCUAACUACGUG